GGAUAACUCAUCAAGGGAGUUAAGCGCUUUGUGAAGCGUUCUCCACCGGAAGCAGAACAGCGUGUGCGCGCGCCGUACUCCUAGCGUGGGUUCUUUGUUGGCGGUUUUCUACAGAGCACCGAAAUUCGAUUCGCACACCUGUGCUUUCCAGUGCCUAAUUCCUUUUAAACAAGAUGCUCCAAGAAUAGCGACCAGUUGAGAAAGUUGAAGAAGCCCCCAUUGAG